rnacentral:rRNA from 1 species
CGAUUACUGCUCAGUAACACGUAGCUAACCUACCCUUAGGACGUGGACAACCCCGAGAAAUUGGGGCUAAUCCGCGAUAGAUGUAUUGUCCUGGAAUGGUAUUACGUCUAAAGGUAUCCCAUACAUGUUUGGUAUAUGCCUAAGGAUGGGGCUGCGGCCGAUCAGGCUGUUGGUGAGGUAAUGGCUCACCAAACCUUUGACCGGUACGGGCCAUGAGAGUGGUAGCCCGGAGAUGGACACUGAGACAAGGGUCCAGGCCCUACGGGGCGCAGCAGGCGCGAAACCUCCUCAAUGCACUUACGUGCGAAGGGGCUACCUCGAGUGCCAUCUGAUGAAGGUGGCUUUUCCUAGGUCUAAAAAGCCUUGGGAAUAAGAGGGGGGCAAGACUGGUGUCAGCCGCCGCGGUAACACCAGCCCCUCGAGUGGUGGGGAUGAUUAUUGGGCCUAAAGCGUCCGUAGCCUGCCGUGUAAGUCUUCCGUUAAAUCCAGCGUCUUAAGCGUUGGACCGCGGGAAAUACUGUACGGCUAGAGAGUGGGAGAGGUCAGCGGUAUUCUGGGGGUAGGGGCGAAAUCCUUUGAUCCCCGGAGGACCACCAGUGGCGAAGGCUG